CUGGGUGUAGCGCAGUUGGGAGCGCGGCGGUUUCGGGUAUCGCAGAUCGCAGGUUCAAACCCUGCCACUCAGA
rnacentral:tRNA from 2 species